AACGAACGCUGGCGGCAUGCCUAACACAUGCAAGUCGAACGAAGCCUUCGGGCUUAGUGGCGCACGGGUGCGUAACGCGUGGGAAUCUGCCCUUAGGUACGGAAUAACUCAGGGAAACUUGUGCUAAUACCGUAUGAUGUCGAGAGACCAAAGAUUUAUCGCCUAGGGAUGAGCCCGCGUAGGAUUAGCUAGUUGGUGGGGUAAAGGCCUACCAAGGCGAAGAUCGGUAGCUGGUCUGAGAGGAUGAUCAGCCACACUGGAACUGAGACACGGUCCAGACUCCUACGGGAGGCAGCAGUGGGGAAUAUUGGACAAUGGGGGGAACCCUGAUCCAGCAAUGCCGCGUGCGUG
rnacentral:rRNA from 1 species